GAUGAACGCUGGCGGCGUGCCUAAUACAUGCAAGUCGAGCGAACAGAUGAGGAGCUUGCUCCUCUGACGUUAGCGGCGGACGGGUGAGUAAAACGUGGAUAACCUACCUAUAAGACUGGGAUAACUUCGGGAAACCGGAGCUAAUACCGGAUAAUAUAUUGAACCGCAUGGUUCAAUAGUUAAAGACGGUUUUGCUGUCACUUAUAGAUGGAUCCGCGCCGCAUUAGCUAGUUGGUAAGGUAACGGCUUACCAAGGCAACGAUGCGUAGCCGACCUGAGAGGGUGAUCGGCCACACUGGAACUGAGACACGGUCCAGACUCCUACGGGAGGCAGCAGUAGGGAAUCUUCCGCAAUGGGCGAAAGCCUGACGGAGCAACGCCGCGUGAGUGAUGAAGGUCUUCGGAUCGUAAAACUCUGUUAUUAGGGAAGAACAAAUGUGUAAGUAACUAUGCACGUAUUGACGGUACCUAAUCAGAAAGCCACGGCUAACUACGUG
rnacentral:rRNA from 1 species